GAUGAACGCUGGCGGCGUGCCUAAUACAUGCAAGUCGAGCGAACAGACGAGGAGCUUGCUCCUCUGACGUUAGCGGCGGACGGGUGAGUAACACGUGGAUAACCUACCUAUAAGACUGGGAUAACUUCGGGAAACCGGAGCUAAUACCGGAUAAUAUAUUGAACCGCAUGGUUCAAUAGUGAAAGACGGUUUUGCUGUCACUUAUAGAUGGAUCCGCGCCGCAUUAGCUAGUUGGUAAGGUAACGGCGUACCAAGGCUACGAUGCGUAGCCGACCUGAGAGGGUGAUCGGCCACACUGGAACUGAGACACGGUCCAGACUCCUACGGGAGGCAGCAGUAGGGAAUCUUCCGCAAUGGGCGAAAGCCUGACGGAGCAACGCCGCGUGAGUGAUGAAGGUCUUCGGAUCGUAAAACUCUGUUAUUAGGGAAGAACAAAUGUGUAAGUAACUAUGCACGUCUUGACGGUACCUAAUCAGAAAGCCACGGCUAACUACGUG
rnacentral:rRNA from 1 species